GCAUAAUUUCUGCUUUUUUACUGGUUCUAGGAGCUGUCACUCAGAGAGUCCUCGUAUCCAUUGGUUGUUCCCUGCCUAUCUUUUUCCUUCCCUUGUAAUCUCGCCUCUUUAGUCAUUACCCGCCUCCCGACGCCAAUUUCCUUCCUUCGAUUGGGUAACCGAAAUGCCAUUUUUCACGAUUCGAAGCUAUGAUUGGCUAUGAGCGGCGGGGCUCGUGCAGUUACCAGGCAGCGGGCUAGACUGAGGCUAGUUACCACGUCAGUGAGCUGACAGGGAAGGUAGCCGGCUCCAUCGCCCGUUCUGGCCGACUCUUCCUGGCUAACUGGGUGGGCUUUGAUUUCGGCCUCAACUCCCGGAAAGGGCUCCUUUCCUGCUCCUAUCUGCCGCCAGAGCCGGGAGAGCCGCUCGGAGACGCCUUCGAGGCCCGGGCUGGACAUGAGCAGCGGCCGCCGGUCCUGGGACUAGGCCCCGCCAUUUUGGAUCCGCUGACAGUAGGUUUGCCAGGAUGGUAGAAAAAUGAAAAAUCCACCGGGACGUGGCAGUUACAGGCUCUGAAUGUUUUUAUUCAGUGGGGUAAGGUGGAGGAGGGGAGAGGAGGUAAAGUGUAGUAUGUUACUGAUGCUGCUGCUGCUAAGU
rnacentral:lncRNA from 1 species